rnacentral:rRNA from 1 species
GGGGACUGAGACACGGCCCUUACUCCUACGGGAGGCAGCAGUGGGGAAUAUUGGACAAUGGACCAAAGUCUGAUCCAGCAAUUCUGUGUGCACGAUGAAGUUUUUCGGAAUGUAAAGUGCUUUCAGUUGGGAAGAAGAAAGUGACGGUACCAACAGAAGAAGCGACGGCUAAAUACGUGCCAGCAGCCGCGGUAAUACGUAUGUCGCAAGCGUUAUCCGGAUUUAUUGGGCGUAAAGCGCGUCUAGGCGGUUUGGUAAGUCUGAUGUGAAAAUGCGGGGCUCAACUCCGUAUUGCGUUGGAAACUGCCAAACUAGAGUACUGGAGAGGUAGGCGGAACUACAAGUGUAGAGGUGAAAUUCGUAGAUAUUUGUAGGAAUGCCGAUGGGGAA